rnacentral:rRNA from 1 species
UACGUAGGGUGCGAGCGUUGUCCGGAAUUACUGGGCGUAAAGAGCUCGUAGGUGGUUUGUCGCGUUGUCCGUGAAAACUCACAACUCAAUUGUGGGCGUGCGGGCGAUACGGGCAGACUGGAGUACUGCAGGGGAGACUGGAAUUCCUGGUGUAGCGGUGGAAUGCGCAGAUAUCAGGAGGAACACCGGUGGCGAAGGCGGGUCUCUGGGCAGUAACUGACGCUGAGGAGCGAAAGCUAGGGGAGCGAACAGG